rnacentral:rRNA from 1 species
AACGAACGCUGGCGGCAGGCCUAACACAUGCAAGUCGAGCGGAUGAGAAGAGCUUGCUCUUCGAUUCAGCGGCGGACGGGUGAGUAAUGCCUAGGAAUCUGCCUGGUAGUGGGGGACAACGUUUCGAAAGGAACGCUAAUACCGCAUACGUCCUACGGGAGAAAGCAGGGGACCUUCGGGCCUCGCGCUAUCAGAUGAGCCUAGGUCGGAUUAGCUAGUUGGUGAGGUAAUGGCUCACCAAGGCGACGAUCCGUAACUGGUCUGAGAGGAUGAUCAGUCACACUGGAACUGAGACACGGUCCAGACUCCUACGGGAGGCAGCAGUGGGGAAUAUUGGACAAUGGGCGAAAGCCUGAUCCAGCCAUGCCGCGUGUGUGAAGAAGGUCUUCGGAUUGUAAAGCACUUUAAGUUGGGAGGAAGGGCAGUAAGUUAAUACCUUGCUGUUUUGACGUUACCGACAGAAUAAGCACCGGCUAACUCUGUGCCAGCAGCCGCGGUAAAAC